AUCAAGGCAACGAUGCGUAGCCGACGUGAGAGGGUGAUCGGCCACACUGAGACUGAGACACGGCCCAGACUCCUACGCGAGGCAGCAGUAGGGAAUCUUCCGCAAUGGACGAAAGUCUGACGGAGCAACGCCGCGUGAGUGAGGAAGGCCUUCGGGUCGUAAAGCUCUGUUGUGAGGGAAGAAGCGGUACCGUUCGAAUAGGGCGGUACCUUGACGGUACCUCACCAGAAAGCCACGGCUAACUACGUGCCAGCAGCCGCGGUAAUACGUAGGUGGCAAGCGUUGUCCGGAAUUAUUGGGCGUAAAGCGCGCGCAGGCGGCUUCUUAAGUCUGAUGUGAAAUCUCGGGGCUCAACCCCGAGCGGCCAUUGGAAACUGGGGAGCUUGAGUGCAGAAGAGGAGAGUGGAAUUCCACGUGUAGCGGUGAAAUGCGUAGAGAUGUGGAGGAACACCAGUGGCGAAGGCGACUCUCUGGUCUGUAACUGACGCUGAGGCGCGAAAGCGUGGGGAGCAAACAGGAUUAGAUACCCUGGUAGUCCACGCCGUAAACGAUGAGUGCUAGGUGUUAGGGGUUUCGAUGCCCGUAGUGCCGAAGUAACACAUAAGC
rnacentral:rRNA from 2 species